GCUUACGGCCAUACCACCUUAGGGCACGCCCGAUCUCGUCCUGAUCUCGGAAGCUAAGCAGGGUCGGGCCUGGUUAGUACUUGAUGAUGGGUGACCGCCUGGGAAUACCAGGUGCUGUAAGCA
ensembl:rRNA 5S_rRNA 5S ribosomal RNA